GACGAACGCUGGCGGCGUGCUUAACACAUGCAAGUCGAACGGAAAGGCCCUGCUUUUGUGGGGUGCUCGAGUGGCGAACGGGUGAGUAACACGUGAGUAACCUGCCCUUGACUUUGGGAUAACUUCAGGAAACUGGGGCUAAUACCGGAUAGGAGCUCCUGCUGCAUGGUGGGGGUUGGAAAGUUUCGGCGGUUGGGGAUGGACUCGCGGCUUAUCAGCUUGUUGGUGGGGUAGUGGCUUACCAAGGCUUUGACGGGUAGCCGGCCUGAGGGGGUGACCGGCCACAUUGGGACUGAGAUACGGCCCAGACUCCUACGGGAGGCAGCAGUGGGGAAUAUUGCACAAUGGGCGGGAGCCUGAUGCAGCAACGCCGCGUGCGGGAUGACGGCCUUCGGGUUGUAAACCGCUUUCGCCUGUGACGAAGCGUGAGUGACGGUAAUGGGUAAAGAAGCACCGGCUAACUACGUG
rnacentral:rRNA from 1 species